GCUCCCGUAGCAAAGUGGUUAAUGCGUCGUGCUUAUAAGUUACCGCUUAUGCUAGAGUCACGCGAAGGUCGCGGGUUCGAUCCCCGCCGGGAGCA